UCUCCACCGGUCUGAAAACUCCUUCCGGCAGAGGCUGGGCUAUCCGUAUCCUUCCCCUUCUUCGAGGUCCCCAUUCCUCCCCAGCAUGGGUUGUCCUCUCCGGGGAAGUGCCACCCAAAGCCCUUCACUCCUACGUAGCAGUGCUGUAUCUUAGGGAGAACAGGAAUUACGAAAAGGGAACAGUAAGUGGAAGAAAGGAACCUGUGAUGGAUUGGUGAUUUGGGGCUCUGGCUUCAUCCUUUGAAACUUAUUCAUUCAUCCAUUCACUCAGGACUAGACACUGCGCUAAGCCUCUGGGGCAGGUAUGGAUAGAAGAAAAUUAUGUUUUCUGUCCUUUGGGAGAGUGUAGUCCAAUAGCAGAGCCUCAGCUGUAUACGAAUGGCUGCACACGUGAUGUAGUCGCUAAAUACUAGGAGUCUAAGUGAACUUCCACCUUGGCAGGAAGAGAAAGCCAUUGCUUGUGACUGUUCUGAGUGAGGAGGGUGUGACCUCUGGGUGGGGACUUUAAGGAUAACAGGGCAGCAGCAGCAGCAGCUCUUCCACUCUGAGGGAAGGAAUUUCAGGAGCCAGGCACCGAGGGCGGGAGGAGUAGGGGUCGGUGUGGGGGCCCCUGGGACCAGCGCAGUAACAAACUCGGCGUGGACUGGGGCGAGGGCCUCCCGGGGUCCCCGCGCUCCGCGACCCUCUGUGACCCGGGCGGAGGAGGGCGCGGGCGGGGCGCCUUUGCGGGGCUUUCCACGCCUGGUUUGUUAUGCACGAGGCAGGCAAUUUGCUUUCUGCCCGGGGGACCCAUCUCGGAGACAAGGAGGCCCACAGAAAGACACCUCUGGCGCCCACCCUGUCGUUCCCGGGUGAUGAAAACUCCCCAAGACCGAUCCAAGAAUGAGCAGCCUUGUCUCCUAAGGUCCGGCCCUCUACUUCCUCCUCUGGCAGAAAUGUGUCCUUCUGCAAGCCCAGAGUUCUAGGGAGCAGGAGCGAGGAAUCCAGUCUGCCUGCCUGUUUGGUGUGAGCAAUGAGGUCUCUGCUGCUAGCUGACCACCCUGGCUGAGAACCCCCAGGACAGCUCCUAAACUGGAAGAGGCUAUACAGUGCCUGAGCUGUGUCCUGACCACUUUUCUCACCUCUCCUGUCUCAGCUUCCUUUGUAAAAUAAGGAGGUUGCAUGGUGUGGACUUGGAGGUCCUACAGAAUGUAAAUCCAUGGUGCACAACC